rnacentral:rRNA from 1 species
UAAGACGUAGGGUGCUAGCGUUGUCCGGAUUUACUGGGCGUAAAGAGCGCGUAGGCGGUCUGUUAAGUGAGAAGUGAAAUCUCCAGGGCUCAACCCGGAAACUGCUUUUCAUACUGGCAGACUUGAGGGAAGCAGAGGUUUGUGGAAUUCCUGGUGUAGCGGUGAAAUGCGUUGAUAUCAGGAGGAACACCCAUGGCGAAGGCAGCAAACUGGGCUUCAUCUGACGCUGAGGCGCGAAAGCGUGGGUAGCAAACAGGAUUAGAUACCCUGGUAGUCCACGCCCUAAACGAUGGAUACUAGGCGUAAGAGGUAUCGACCCCUCUUGUGCCGCAGCUAACGCAUUAAGUAUCCCGCCUGGGGACUACGGCCGCAAGGUUG